UCCGAGUUGACCCCGGCGGUCUCCCACGAGUCCCCGGCAUUACCCGCUGGCAACAUGGGACAAGGGUUGCGCUCGUUGCGGGACUUAACCCAACAUCUCACGACACGAGCUGACGACAACCAUGCACCACCUGCACACAGGCCACAAGGGAACCGACAUCUCUGCCGGGAUCCUGCGCAUGUCAAGCCUAGGUAAGGUUCUUCGCGUUGCAUCGAAUUAAGCCACAUGCUCCGCCGCUUGUGCGGGCCCCCGUCAAUUCCUUUGAGUUUUAGCCUUGCGGCCGUACUCCCCAGGCGGGGUGCUUAAUGCGUUAGCUUCGGCACGGAACGGGUUGAAGACCGCCCCACACCUAGCACCCAACGUUUACGGCUGGGACUAC
rnacentral:misc_RNA from 1 species